GACGAACGCUGGCGGCGUGCUUAACACAUGCAAGUCGAACGGAAAGGCCCUGCGUUUGUGGGGUGCUCGAGUGGCGAACGGGUGAGUAACACGUGAGUAACCUGCCCUUGACUUUGGGAUAACUUCAGGAAACUGGGGCUAAUACCGGAUAGGAGCUCCCGUUGCAUGGUGGGGGGUGGAUAGUUUCGGCGGUUGGGGAUGGAUUCGCGGCUUAUCAGUUAGUUGGUGGGGUAGUGGCUUACCAAGGCAUGGACGGGUAGCCGGCCUGAGAGGGUGGCCGGCGACAUUGGGACUAAGAUAGGGAGCAGACUGCUACGGGGGGCAGCGGGGGGGAAUAUGGCACAGUGAGCGGGCGCCGGAUGAAGCGACGCCGCGUGCGGGAUGACGGCCUUCGGGUUAUAAACCGCUUUCGCCUGUGACGAAGCGUGAGUGACGGUAAUGGGUAAAGAAGCACCGGCUAACUACGUG
rnacentral:rRNA from 1 species